CGGACGGUGAUCUGAUAAAAAGAUAUGAAACAGACAUAGUGCCAAACACCGAGAUCGACGAAAACCUAAAUACAGAUAAUGUUACUGUAGUAUUUCUAGAACAGUACAGAAUAUUAUCCACCCUUGCAGUCUUUUUCGAUGAAAUGAUUAACGAUGAGAAUGACUAUGAAGGAAACGAAAUUGUCGAAGAGAUGCAGAGAUCAAAACGUCAUUUGUACGGUAUAAUGUGUGACCUCCACACGACCUUGAACAGUCAUAUUCCAGAAUACGUUACAAGAAAUGUGACGGAUGACUGGCAAACGCCGAUGAAUGGCACACGCAUCGGGAGAUAUGUUAAAGGCUUCAUAAUUUCAAACAAUGCCCUAAAUAUUGCAAACAAACUCUCGGAAAUGUACAGUCAACUGAAUUCUAAGAAUAUGAAUGUAUCACAAAGCAAUUUUUAUUUUUAGGUUACUGUAGUAUUUCUAGAACAGUACAGAAUAUUAUCCACCCUUGCAGUCUUUUUCGAUGAAAUGAUUAGCGAUGAGAAUGACUAUGAAGGAAACGAAAUUGUCCUAGAGAUUUAAACAUAUUUCAGAAUUCAUUUUCCAUUGAAUAUCAACACAUUGUUUUCAUUUAUUUUUUUUUUUUCAAUUGAAAUAUGAGACUUUUUUCAAUCAGCGUUGUUAGUAGUCUGACUUGAUGAUUUUAAGUAUCUGCAUAAUCCAUCUUCAUUGUAUUGUGUGAGGAAAUUCAUUCAUAUUAUUCAUGGUUUCAAAAAAUAGAAGAUACAUUGAGUCAUGUGAUUUUUAGUCUAUAUUUACCCAUAUGAAGAUUCCAUUUUACGUUUAUAUUUAAGUAUAUAUAUUUACCGUUUUUGAUUGUGUUUUAUUAUGUUGUGUUUCUGCAAAUAAAUAAAUGUUUCAUAAAAAUGAA